AGUCAGAUGAUAAAUUAACUAUUACACUCUGAAUGAUACAGUUGUGAACUAAAACUUAAUUCUGACAGAG
rnacentral:snoRNA from 1 species